CUGUUUUCUCCAGAUAUUAUAGCAAGACUGAUGGGAGUAUUUAUGUCUCUUAUUCCAUCCCCAGAGGGUCUGCUUCUAAAAAGUGGUGCUUCCACGACAGACACUGAAGGAACUAGAGUGUGUCUAGGUCUCAGUUGGACUUAUGGGCUUGAUCCUCAAGUGUGUCGAGAUGAACUGGGCAGGAAACAGUUUUUUUAUCCCAGGAAAAUUGGCUUUUAUGAAAGCUCCUCAAGGUCGAGAACAGAGGAUGAAGAUUAAUGAUGUUGGUCGCUGGUACUUUAUGAAACCUUCCCAAGAAAAGGGAAUGCCUCUUAAGGUUUUUAGAUCUACAGACCAGAGCUGCCAGAUGGUAACCUGCUUGGCAUG
rnacentral:lncRNA from 1 species